rnacentral:snRNA from 1 species
AAGCGACGCAUGCGCCCG